UACGGAGGGUGCAAACGUUGCUCGGAAUCAUUGGGCGUAAAGCGCACGUAGGCGGCCUGAUAAGUCGGGUGUGAAAGCCCUGGGCUCAACCCCGGGCCUGCAGUCGAUACGGGCAGACUAGAGUGCGGUAGGGGAGACUGGAAUUCCUGGUGUAGCGGUGAAAUGCGCAGAUAUCAGGAGGAACACCGGUGGCGAAGGCGGGUCUCUGGGCCGUAACUGACGCUGAGGAGCGAAAGCGUGGGGAGCGAACAGG
rnacentral:rRNA from 1 species